ACCUGAGAAACCCAAAAGAUCGAAUGGGGAGAUUCAUCGUCAGCGGCUUUGGCUUCCGUGCGGCGCGCGAUGGCCGGGACUUCGGUCUCGCGUCACGCUGCCGCUGCGGCAUGUCCGGAGUCGUCGGCGUGCACUUCUCCCCUAGUAGGACGUCGCGACCCGUUGGGUGUCGGACCGAUGGCCGGUCGGUCGUCUGUUGCGCGUUCGCGCGCUUCAGACCGAUUCGGUCGAAAGUCCGGCUGCCCGGCGGUAUUGAACGAUAUGAACUGGUAUCGGGCCGCAUCGAAUGCGUUCAGGCUCGUCGGCAGGCUCGUCUCGCUCGGAUUUACGGACCUAGCGCCGUUGCCGGGCGCUUGGCGCGGCUGUUAGUCGACGAUGUCCUCGGACUGGCUCUUACCCGUCGGCGACGCUACUGCUUUGGGUACUUUCAGGACCCGUCUUG
rnacentral:rRNA from 1 species